rnacentral:rRNA from 1 species
UGACUGUACAAAGGUAGCAUAAUCAAUAGUCUCUUAAUUGGUGACUUGAAUGAAAGAUUGGAUGAAAUAUAUACUGUCUCUUUAAUAAUAAUAGAAUUUAAUUUUUUAAUUAAAAAGUUAAAAUAAAUUUAAAAGACGAGAAGACCCCAUAGAGUUUUAUAUAUUUGUUAAUUAAUAUUAUUUAUAAAUUAAUAAAAUUAAAAUUAAUUUGAUAUAUUAUAUUGGGGUGAUAAAAAAAUUUAUUUAACUUUUUUUUUUAAAUUAACAUAAAUAAGUGACUAAUAAUGAUCCAAAAUUUUUGAUUAUAAGAUAAAAUUACCUUGGGGAUAACAGCGUAAUUUUUUUUUUUAGUUCGAAUAAAAAAAAAAGUUUGCGACCUCGAUGUUGGAUUAAGAUAAAAUUUAAAUGCAAAAGUUUAAGAUUUUGAUCUGUUCGAUCAUUAAAAUCUU